AGCAGUGGCGCCAAUUAGACCGAAGAGAAAUACUCCCCAAAGUUCGAUAUAAUCGGCUUUCUCUUGAUAAGGUCUGUUAGGAGAUUGCCAUGGAUUGUCUUUAUCUCGACUAAUAUCAUCGCCUCCCAUAUUAUUAAUGCUAAUUGAAUAUUAAUUCUCAGCUAUUCGUCGCGAGGAAAUUACAAUUCAAAAUCCGAAACCCCAAAACCAUAGUUAGGGUUUCUCUUUGACUCUGCGAUUGUUGUUGCACCGCCCGUUGUAUGGGUUGGGGGCGUG
rnacentral:misc_RNA from 1 species